rnacentral:lncRNA from 1 species
AUGUUGACAUGCCAUUAUGGGGACACAUCAUGACAGGAUAGCGUUUAGUCACAAUGGUGAUGUGUGAACUUUAGAAGAUUUAGAUCCUGGGUUUGGACACAUUGCCAAGAAUGUGGAUUCCUUUUUAAAGUAUCCAGAUGUCUUGUGUCUGUAGAACUGGGCUUUUAGAAAUUGUUUAUUUGUUGGUUUAUAUCAGAACAAGAAGGAGUACAUUGCCUUCUUGAAUCUAAUUCAAGUUACUUCAAGAGACUGAGAAACAUACCAUACCUUCAGACACUUAUUUUUAUCUGCUUUGUGGUGGACUUCUAUUGACUGGAUCAAAGCUAGACAUUAAAAAAAAUAAAGAAAAACAACAAAAAUGACCCUUUAUUUUAAGCAAAGUCAAAAUGUUAAAUAUCAUUUCAUAAAAAUUGAGGAAUGGGAUGGGAGACUGGGCAAUUAUUAGAAGUUGACUUUUUAAAACCUUGACGUUUCUUCAUAGCAUAAGCCAGCACCGCCUCAACUAUCUGUCUACCACUUCCUCGGAAUGCAGGCUCCAGUGAUGACGAUCAGUGGUGGCGAUGGGAUUAUUGAGGCAGAGUUCAUAUCCUGCAGGCAGACAAGCAAAUAAGGCACGUGAAAUCAUACCCCAUAAUCUAGGUGCCAUCCAAAAAGUAUGUGUUUUGGUCUCGUGCAAGUG